CAGAAGGUGCAAGCGUUACUCGGAAUUACUGGGCGUAAAGCGUCUGUAGGUGUCCUUCCACGUCUGGCGUUAAAUUUCUGGGCUCAACCCAGUCUUUGUGCCGGAUACGAGAAGGAUCGAGUCAUUCAGAGGCAUCUGGAAUGUCGUGUGUAGGGGUAAAAUCCGUAGAUCCACGAUGGAACGCCAAAAGCGAAGGCAGGAUGCUAGGAAUGCACUGACACUCAGAGACGAAAGCGUGGGGAGCAAAGGGGGAUUAGAUACCCCCGUAGUCCACGCCCUAAACGAUGCGGGCUCGAUGUAGGAACCUCAAUCGGAUCCUGUGUCUUAGCUUACGCGGUAAGCCCGCGCCUGAGAAGUACGGCCGCAAGGCUA
rnacentral:rRNA from 1 species